rnacentral:misc_RNA from 1 species
AACGCAUAUUGCGCUCUUUGGUAUUCCGAAGAGCAUGCUUGUUUGAGUAUCAGUAAACACCUCAAAGCUUUUGAUUUUUUUCAAAAGUUUUGGACUUGAGCAAUCCCAACACUGGUCUUUUACAGAUCGGCGGCGGGUUGCUUGAAAUGCAGGUGCAGCUGGACAUUCUCCUGAGCUAAAAGCAUAUUUAUUUAGUCCCGUCAAACGGAUUAUUACUUUUGCUGCAGCUAAUAUAAAGGGAGUUUGACCGUAUUGGCUGACUGAUGCAGGAUUUCACAAGGGUCGGCAACGAUUCUUGUAAAACUCGAUCUCAAAUCAAGUAAGACUACCCGCUGAACUUAA